rnacentral:rRNA from 1 species
AGCAGCCGCGGUAAUUCCAGCUCCAAUAGCGUAUAUUAAAGUUGUUGCAGUUAAAAAGCUCGUAGUUGAAUUUCGGGGUUAGUAGGCUGGUCGUGCCACAGGUAUGCACUGGUCUUACUGAUUCCUCCUUCCUGAUGAACCGUAAUGCCAUUAAUUUGGUGUUGCGGGGAGUCUGGACUGUUACUUUGAAAAAAUUAGAGUGUUUAAAGCAGGCUAACGCUUGAAUACAUUAGCAUGGAAUAACGAAAUAGGACGUUCGAUCCUAUUUUGUUGGUUUCUAGGAUUGACGUAAUGAUUAAUAGGGAUAGUUGGGGGCAUUAGUAUUCAAUUGUCAGAGGUGAAAUUCUUGGAUUUAUUGAAGACUAACUACUGCGAAAGCAUUUGCCAAGGAUGUUUUCAUUAAUCAAGAACGAAAGUUAGGGGAUCGAAGACGAUCAGAUACCGUCGUAGUCUUAACCAUAAACUAUGCCGACUAGGGAUCGGAUGAUGUUAAUUUUUUUAAUGACUCAUUCGGCGCCUUACG